rnacentral:rRNA from 1 species
CUGGUGCUUGCAUCAGGGAUUAGUGGCGAACGGGCGAGUAACACGUGAGUAACCUGGCCUUAACUCUGGGAUAAGCCUUGGAAACGGGGUCUAAUACUGGAUAUGUACUUUUUCUCGCAUGAGGGGGAGUGGAAAGCUUUUGUGGUUUUGGAUGGACUCGCGGCCUAUCAGCUGGAUGGUGGGGUAGUGGCCUACCAUGGCGGUGACGGGUAGCCGGCCUGAGAGGGUGACCGGCCACACUGGGACUGAGAUACGGCCCAGACUCCUACGGGAGGCAGCAGUGGGGAAUAUUGCACAAUGGGCGAAAGCCUGAUGCAGCGACGCCGCGUGAGGGAUGACGGCCUUCGGGUUGUAAACCUCUUUCAGUAGUGAACAAGGCUGUGCCUUUUGGUGUGGUUGAGGGUAGCUAUAGAAGAAGCACCGGCUAACUACGUGCCAGCAGCCGCGGUAAUACGUAGGGUGCGAGCGUUAUCCGGAAUUAUUGGGCGUAAAGAGCUCGUAGGCGGUUUGUCGCGUCUGUCGUGAAAGUCCGGGGCUUAACUCCGGAUGUGCGGUGGGUACGGGCAGGCUAGAGUGAUGUAGGGGUAACUGGAACUCCUGGUGUAGCGGUGGAAUGCGCAGAUAUCAGGAAGAACACCGAUGGCGAAGGCAGGUUACUGGGCAUUAACUGACGCUGAGGAGCGAAAGCAUGGGGAGCGAACAGGAUUAGAUACCCUGGUAGUCCAUGCCGUAAACGUUGGGCACUAGGUGUGGGGGACAUUCCACGUUUUCCGCGCCGUAGCU